CUGCAAUUGGACUACUACUGCUUAGUAGAGUUUGUGGCUAUCCAUUGUCUUUCUUGAGAAUUCAUCUCAUUUUUUAAGUGAGCAUCAGUGGCUGCUAACAUCUCCAAAACAGAGAAAGCCGAAUUUGUGUCUUCUGUUGAAAGAAUGCACCACUUCCUAGAGUCAUAUCAAAAGCAGGAACCUACAUCCGAUCUAGCAUCUGGAUCCAGCAUUGAGUUUACAGGGUCCAAGGAGAAAAUGGAUGUCUGCAAACCAGGAAGAAGGCUCUCCCUAGAACCCAGCCAUGUUGGCACCUUGAUCUUUGACUUUUGGCCUC